GACGAACGCUGGCGGCGUGCUUAACACAUGCAAGUCGGACGGAAAGGCCCUGCGUUUGUGGGGUGCUCGAGUGGCGAACGGGUGAGUAACACGUGAGUAACCUGCCCUUGACUUUGGGAUGACUUCAGGAAACUGGGGCUAAUACCGGAGAGGAGCUCCUGCUGCAUGGUGGGGGUUGGAAAGGUUCGGCGGUUGGGGAUGGACUCGCGGGUUAUCAGCUUGUUGGUGGGGUAGUGGCUUACCAAGGCUUUGACGGGUAGCCGGCCUGAGAGGGUGACCGGCACAAUUGGGAGUGAGAUACGGCACAGACUAGUACGGGAGGCAGCAGAGGGGAAUAUUGCACAAUGGGCGGAAGCCUGAUGCAGCAACGCCGCGUGCGGGAUGAAGGCCUUCGGGUUGUAAACCGCUUUCGCCUGUGAUGAAGCGUGAGUGACGGUAAUGGGUAAAGAAGCACCGGCUAACUACGUG
rnacentral:rRNA from 1 species